CUAGCUUUGAUCCUUCUCCAAAUUAAGAACAUAUCCUCAGUUAUUCUUAAGAGUUUAAGAUCAUUUUCACAGCAAACCAGCACUGACAGCUUGGAUACAAUUGAUAUCUACUCGUGACAUUCAUGAUAUUAUUUAUAUCAAUUCAAGUACAUUAUGGCAUAUGACUAUGCUCGAGAGGGUAGCAGACCUCUCUCUGAUAUUUCUAUGCUGAACUCUUUCAGCAUCCAGUCUCUAUACUUUAUUUGUAAAAACAUAAGCAUCCAAUUAUAUCUAUCUCUAUAGAUCUUUAGGAUGCUCACAUUAUGUCUUUCAUGGAGAAAUCUAUA
rnacentral:lncRNA from 1 species